rnacentral:rRNA from 1 species
GACGAACGCUGGCGGCAUGCCUAACACAUGCAAGUCGAACGAAGCCUUCGGGCUUAGUGGCGCACGGGUGCGUAACGCGUGGGAAUCUGCCCUUGGGUUCGGAAUAACAGUUAGAAAUGACUGCUAAUACCGGAUGAUGUCUUCGGACCAAAGAUUUAUCGCCCAAGGAUGAGCCCGCGUAGGAUUAGGUAGUUGGUGGGGUAAUGGCCCACCAAGCCGACGGUCCUUAGCUGGUCUGAGAGGAUGGUCAGCCACACUGGGACUGAGAAACGGCCCAGACUCCUACGGGAGGCAGGAGUGGGUAAUAUUGGACAAUGGGCGAAAGCAUGAUCCAGCAAUGCCGCGUGAGUGAUGAAGGCCUUAGGGUUGUAAAGCUCUUUUACCAGGGAUGAUAAUGACAGUACCUGGAGAAUAAGCUCCGGCUAACUCCGUGCCAGCCGCCGCGGUAA